GGUACAACUUUUGUCGAAUAUGCGGCGGUUCCUCUGAAGCACUUCGUGAUGCAGGGUGCCUUACUUUGGUUCUGUUAUGUGGAGAUUGGAAAGAUUUGCGGUUUAUGUCAAGAUGGAGGAUUCAGAUCAAGUGCAGUCGGUGCGGCAUUGGAAGUACGACAUUGGACUAGGAGAUUAGGAAUCAGAACCGGUUUUCUUUAUUUAGGAAGCGUCUUGUAAUGUUCGAAGAUUUUUUGUAAUUAUCAAUUAUAUGGACUUUUGGAUUUUUUGAAUGAUGAAUUGUGUGAGUGGUGUAAUGUAAUGUGCUCGACCUUGUAAUGAAUUUGUGAUGGCUUUGGUUGAAUGAAUUUGUGAUGGCUUCGGUUGAAUGACCUUGAA